GCUCAGGACGAACGCUGGCGGCGUGCUUAACACAUGCAAGUCGAGCGGUAAGGCCUUUCGGGGUACACGAGCGGCGAACGGGUGAGUAACACGUGGGUGAUCUGCCCUGCACUUCGGGAUAAGCCUGGGAAACUGGGUCUAAUACCGGAUAUGACCUCCUAUCGCAUGGUGGGUGGUGGAAAGAUUUAUCGGUGCAGGAUGGGCCCGCGGCCUAUCAGCUUGUUGGUGGGGUAAUGGCCUACCAAGGCGACGACGGGUAGCCGACCUGAGAGGGUGACCGGCCACACUGGGACUGAGACACGGCCCAGACUCCUACGGGAGGCAGCAGUGGGGAAUAUUGCACAAUGGGCGAAAGCCUGAUGCAGCGACGCCGCGUGAGGGAUGACGGCCUUCGGGUUGUAAACCUCUUUCAGCAGGGACGAAGCGCAAGUGACGGUACCUGCAGAAGAAGCACCGGCUAACUACGUGCCAGCAGCCGCGGUAAUACGUAGGGUGCAAGCGUUGUCCGGAAUUACUGGGCGUAAAGAGUUCGUAGGCGGUUUGUCGCGUCGUUUGUGAAAACCAGCAGCUCAACUGCUGGCUUGCAGGCGAUACGGGCAGACUUGAGUACUGCAGGGGAGACUGGAAUUCCUGGUGUAGCGGUGAAAUGCGCAGAUAUCAGGAGGAACACCGGUGGCGAAGGCGGGUCUCUGGGCAGUAACUGACGCUG
rnacentral:rRNA from 1 species